GAUCCUGGCUCAGGACGAACGCUGGCGGCGUGCCUAAUACAUGCAAGUCGAGCGGACCGAUGGGAGCUUGCUCCCUGAGGUUAGCGGCGGACGGGUGAGUAACACGUGGGUAACCUGCCUGUAAGACUGGGAUAACUCCGGGAAACCGGGGCUAAUACCGGAUGCUUGAUUGAACCGCAUGGUUCAAUCAUAAAAGAUGGCUUCGGCUAUCACUUACAGAUGGACCCGCGGCGCAUUAGCUAGUUGGUGAGGUAACGGCUCACCAAGGCGACGAUGCGUAGCCGACCUGAGAGGGUGAUCGGCCACACUGGGACUGAGACACGGCCCAGACUCCUACGGGAGGCAGCAGUAGGGAAUCUUCCGCAAUGGACGAAAGUCUGACGGAGCAACGCCGCGUGAGUGAUGAAGGUUUUCGGAUCGUAAAACUCUGUUGUUAGGGAAGAACAAGUACCGUUCGAACAGGGCGGUACCUUGACG
rnacentral:rRNA from 1 species